rnacentral:lncRNA from 1 species
GUCCUCUCGUCGUGUCUCGUCUUGGUUUUUAUCGGUUCUCAUCUGAGUUCUCCCAACGGCGAUGGCGACGGCGACCGAUUGAGGGACAGGGCCCCUUUCUUCUGCAAAUCUCUCCUUCGUCCCUCUUCCUUCUAUGACGGCGACAGCGACUGAGGGGUCGAGCAUGUCUUGCGCGCGCUCUGCUCUGGACUGAGGGGCCGCCAGUGGCUUUAGAUCU